UGAGCAAUAAUGUUCUCCCAUAAUCUACCUUAACAUAAAUGCACAAAGCUCAUAUCUAUUUAACAAAUUCAUAUAUAAGCUUUUUAAUAAUAAUUAGCAAAAGUUACUAUUCAUUUGGUCAAUUCUCAUCUCAUUAACCGAAAAUACACAUGCUUAUUACCAUUUCCCUUCCAACUUUAUUCCAUUACUAAACAAAUGUGCAAUCACACAUGGAAGCAUAUAUAAACAUACUAUAAUUUGCAUUUUAUAAAUGCAUCAUUCAUAUAUAUAUAUAUAUUACCUUAACCAUAAUAAAAUAACUAAAUCAAAGUCAUUAACAACAUAAACAUAUGCUCAUUGAUCCUACCUAUUACUAGUCAAAUAUAAACAUGCAUUAUACUUGACUUAUCAUUUAAUCAUACUACUGAAUCUCAAACGCAUUAUAUAAUCAUAUAAAAAUCAGCUAAACCAUCUUAAUAUAAAUUACAAGUAUUGAAUCAAUACAUGUUUAUUACACCUAUUUACAAUGCACUGAAAUGUCACACCCAAAAAUCAAUCUAUUCAAUAUAUGUUCGGCUAUAAUAAUAAAUCAAUACACUACCAUAAGUUGCCUUCAUCAACCGAGUUUAUGAAAUUAACAUCCAUCUUCAAAACAUACUUAAUAUAUCAACUCAUUAUAUUUUAUAAAUAAAUACUUCCAAACAUAACAUAAACCAUAAUUUAAUAAAAACACAUACACAACCAUUAACUUAAUCAUUUCAAACCAUACUUCAUAUAAACAUAUGAAAUACAUUUUUAUAACUAAGUUCAAAUUAUCUAUCUCUACUCGUACCUAUUGGUCAAAUUUUAACAAUGAUACAAGCAUCACUUAACCCAUUUAACGCAUACCAAAUACCUAACAUACAUCCAAAUUUUAACUCGUUUCCAAGUCAAAUUAUAAAUCUAUACAUAACACCAAGCAUAAAUUUAUAAUCAUCUAUUCAAUUAAGCUAUCUUCAUAACCAAACAUUACAAGCAUGAUCAUUAUAAAACAUACCUUUAAAAUGAGUUAAAACACAACCAGAUAUACACAACAUUAAUUUCAUAAUUAAGCUAUUUUCAGAUGGCUAUCAUAUAUAUAUAUAUAUACUCCAAAAUCAAACAUAACACAAACCGGCCUAUACAUGCCAUAGGUUAAAGUUCAUACCGAAAACAAACGAUACUGUGAUAGACUUCGCUGACGAUCCUCGAGCCCGUAACUAGCUUCCAAAAUCUAUGAAAUAGAAAAUAAACACACACAGUAAGCUAUCAAAGCUUAGUAAGUCAUAAGCAAAUAAAACAUUUAAUAACAUAAUCAACUCAAUUAACCAAACCAAUUUAUGCAAUUAUAAUCACUUAUAAUUUCAGGCUUACAAUUUUAUAUAUAACAUAUACUUUCAUAAACAACUUAACAUAGCCGAAUAUACACUUGUAUAUAUAUUACUAAUACAUUCUCCAAUUUCAAAGUCAUGUUGGCAUGUAUAUAUCUGAUUAUUCACAAGCAUUUAUCUAAACAUACUCAUAGAUCAAGCUUUAAAACACUACAGGAAAAUAGACUUUUAGCGGCGUUUUUUUUGCCUUUAGCGGCUUUUUUAAGCGUCGCUAAUACUUUUAGCGGCAUUUUUCCAAGCGCCACAAAAAACGUCAUUAUAUGCAACACCGCUAAAGACCAGGACUUUUAGCGGCGCUUUUUUAAAAAACACCGCUAAAGACCAGGACCUUUCGCGGCGCUUUUAUAAAAACGCCGCUAAAGACCAGGACUUUUCGCGGCGCUUUUUUAAAAAACGCCAUGAAUUUGCCCAGUUUUGCAACAUGUGUUUUUGCACCUAUAUCCAACCCUCCUGCAAGAAAUUCAACCAAAAACAACAAAUAUACCAUGAAAUCCAACCAAAACCCGCAAAUUUAAAUAAUACAAAAUUAUAUGAAAAAUAUAUUAUAUAAAUUGUAAAUGAAUAUUCAAAAUAUUCUUAAAAUAAUGUUAAAAGUUACAAGAAAACAAAUGUUUAAGAUGGCGGAUUUUGAAAUUGCUGGAACAUAGUCAUCAUAGACUGAAGCUGUAGCUGGAGUUCAUUGUAUUUUCUGUUCUGCUCUGCCUCCCUCGCUGCUGCCUCCGCUCUAAGUUGAGAAAUUUGUUCAUCUGUGCUAGCUUGUAUCAAUAAUAAAAUAUAUAAUUUAAUUUCGACCAAAAAUAUUCUGACUCUACCACUACAAGCAAUUUACGCUUAAAAAUUUAUAAAUGUACUAAAACUUCAUAGAUGACUUUUAACAUUAACACAAAAAUGGAAUCUGAGCUUUUUUUUAUGAAGAUGAAAGGAAAGGUAUGGGGUGGAUGGCUAUCCCCUUUCAAUAUCUAAAGCUUCCAAUGCAAUCCCUUAAGUUGAGAUAAUAUUUAAAAAAAAUAUAUUAUUACUAUAUUGAAAUUUAAAAAUAAAUCAUUAAUAAAAUAAAUCAGGCAUUAGAAAGUUCAGAACAAACUAACCUUGUCUUUGCUAAACCAACAGAACAACCUGUAAUAAUCAAGAAAUAGUUUUCAUUCAAUAACAGAGGCAACUAACAAAAUUUUGCCUACAUCACUAUUUAGAGCGCUGAUCUGCCAACAAUAAGCAAACAAAUUUGAUGGAAUGCCCAAACUAACAACGGCUGACAGAUAAGCAACAAAAACAAUGAAAACUGAACUUGCUCACUUGAACAGAGAUUAUUCAAUAUCAAAAGACACCAUCAUAUGACUAAUUGAAGUAAAGAACUGAAAACAUUAUAAAAAUUUAUAGAAAUGCUGAUUAUCAUAAGUUCAUUUGAUGGGUAGUCUAUUAUUCGCAAAUCUAAAACAUUAUCCCUCUUGAGUUUAAUAUGAUUUAUGGAAUUUAACCAGAUGGCCUAAAGAGUUCUAAGGAAGUGCUAAUCACUACAGAAAAAGGUCUAUGCGUACAAGAAGAAAAAUAUGUUUUUCCUCACUAGAGUUCCGAAGAAACCCUCAUCGUCACAAGAAGGACAAUUGACAGUCCACUUCUUUUGUCAACAAGAUAAUUACCCAAAAUAAUUGAAUGUUUAUAUUCCCUUAAAGAAACAUUGAUUAAGAUUGGGCAACAGCUAUGAGAUAGAUAUCACACAUGAUAUGGCUAGAAAAUGAAGUUAACUAUUAAAUAUAUGCUUGUAUGUAUGUACGCACUAAGGGCAAAAAUAAUCAAUUUCAAUUCAGAAACUUCAAAACCCAUACAGCUAAAAGCCAGCAAGUAACUACCCCAAAAAAGAAAAUACAACACAUGAAGUUUAACAGGAGAAUGAUAAAUUUAGAUCUGAUUAACAAUUCAGAUCCAUAAAGUGGUCAAAACUUCACCAAACUAAAGCAAGCAUCAUAAACUACUUACCAAAGAUUGGUCAAGUUCAAGAGAUGCUAAUGAAACAACUCCAGCAAGUGUUUCAAGUGCUAUUCCUACAAGAGUAUAACAUGGUUAACAAAUAACAAUCUCACAACUGGAUUGAACAAUGGAUAUUAAAAGAAGGUAAACAACUUUAUCAAAGACAUAACAUCAGUGAUAGGAGAAAAAUGCUAAAUGGUGGUUGUGCUGAACAUUGUCUUCAAAAAAACAAGUUUUAGAAUCUAGAAAAAUCUUUACCAACAGCAAAGGCAUUAGAUUCAGGAUUAUUAGAACUAAAGCGCCACCUGCCAUCACUCUGGCGUAAAGCCUGAAAACAACUUGUAACAUAAAAUCAACCAUUCAUGAAAAACAUAUAUAGCUAUACAAAUCAGGGCAUAGAAGUUGGCUGAAGUGAAAAAGUUUAUAUAAACAUAAGAUUAGAAGUUUGAGUCAGUUCAAGUAAAGAGACGCCACAAAGGCAAAUGUCUCCAUCCCAACAACUUGUCCCACCAAAAUGCUUUUUGACUCUAGGCUGAAGUAAUAGAAUCUGUUCAAACACAUGAAAUUCAAAUCUUCCGAGAAUAUUUACUACUGGAUGAAUGAUGAAUAAAAAUCCAAAAUGAUUAAAAAAACACAACCAAUCAGAUCGAACAAAAAUCUCAAUACAGCAACAAUUUUUUUUCUCAAUCCCAUAUUAUAUAAGCUAACAAACAUUACUCUUAACACCAUAAAUAGAUCCAAUCAGCAGGUUAUUAGUAAAUAAUAAUGAACAUUAUUAACAGCAAAAAUUAACAGGAUCUUUUGGAAAGUAAAGGACUUUGUUGGCUAAGGUUUCUAGCUCGGAUUAAAGUUUUGAACUUGGAAGAGUUUUGAGGUACUAACAAAAUCCAAAAUCCAACGAAGGAACAUGCUAUAAAGUCGAAACCAAUCUGACAUAUCGAAAUAUAAAAAAAAUGUUUAGCUCCUCGUUUGUUACUAACAAAAUCGUAAAGAAUGACCUAAAUUUUAAAAGAAAAGUGCAGGAGAAAUAGGCACAAUUAAAUAUUCUUCAUUAAUAUUUUAAAGGUCAAGAAAUAUGAUAUAAAACUUAACAUCGAGAUGGAGCUAUAGAAACAUUACCCGAUAGUGUGCUUUUACUCUGUUUCCUUUAUGAGCCUGGAAUUCACAUGAUGGAGGCUUAUACUGUUAAAAGGUGAGAAUGAAAUAGUUAAUAAGAUCACAAGCAAUGAUUAAACUGACCAAGAAGUUAGAAACAAACAAUAACAGUUGAUUAUCUGUACAUAAAAAUAACUAAGGUUACCAAAUGAAACGGAAAAAUGUAAAACCUUACUCUAUUUCAACUCUGCAUUUCAUUUGAUUUCAUGAAGAAACCUUACUCUGUUUAUUCAGAGAUAACAGACAUGAACCAACCAAUACUGCUAACCCUAAAUAAACCAAGGCUUCCCUCUGAAUUCGAGAAGUGUACCAAAAUAAAAUCAGUAAUUAAUUAAAACGAAAGAAAGCUGAACUGCUACAAUUUUUUUAAAAAUAUUAAAUCAGAAGACAAGAGACGUUUCAACAAUUGAUUAGAUCUGGAAAUUAUGACGCAGGAUAAUUAAUAACCGAAAGAAUAUAAUUGGAUAAGAAACUUACCUAAUGCGAAAAGAACCAACAGAAGCACAAUUGGAACCACCUUCAACGCGCAGCUGAUACUCAUUUUGUUUCACUCUCUCUAACUCCGACUAAUUCUCUCUCGACUUAUAUUCUCUGUAAAUUUUGGCGUUGCGAUUUUAUCUAAAGCAAAUGCAAUCCGAAUACUUAAAAUGGGAAAAAGAAAUAAGUACAAAUUUGUAUUUGGGGGAUUUGGUUAACGAGCGGGUCACC
rnacentral:lncRNA from 1 species